rnacentral:SRP_RNA from 2 species
CCGUGCUAGAUGGGGAGGUAGCGGUGCCCUGUACUCGCAAUCCGCUAUAGCGAGGUUGAAUUCCUUUUUGAGGUUAUAUCAUCGUUUGGUCUGACCUAAGUAAGUGGUGUUGACGUUUGGGUUCUGCGCAACGGAAACCCAUGAACCCUGUCAGGUCCGGAAGGAAGCAGCAGUAAGUGGACCCUUUCGUGUGCCGCAGAGUUGCCUGGACUGAGCUAACUGCUUAGGUAACGCUUAGGGUGGUAUAAUCGAGGAAAGGUGCACGG